rnacentral:lncRNA from 1 species
CUCUGCUACUUGGGGGGGGGGGUACUGUCUAUCUUCCAUGUUCAGGAUACCUGGUAUACUUGCCCCAAGAGAUUAACCAUGAGGAGAAGCCUCCAGACUGGCCCUGAAGCAAGAGUAAAUCUGGUAAGACGGAAGAAAGAAGCCACCGAGAGACAGCAGUUGAAAGAGGAGGAAUCCUAAGUCCUGUGGAUUCUGGGCACUGGCUGAUGUCUUGCCAUUUCUGGCCCACAUUCCUCUCUUGUAUGGAGUUUUGAGGUGUUGUAUGUGAACCUGGAGGCCCCAGGACUUCCAGAAAACGCUGGAGGAAACGCUGGAUUUAUGGCUUGGUGAGGAGCCUCCACAUAUCCUUGACUGGAUACCAGCACCAGCUUAUUGCCAUAUCAUCCUCAUCAGCCUGGCUUUAAUCGCCUCCAAACCUGAUAACCAUCGGAGGCAGUUCAUCCCUGCAAAUUAUCUAAUCCACAUGUUGUUCAAUUUGUGUAAACCUCAGCCCACGAGGAUCAUAAAAUAAACAAGCAUGAAAUGGUU